rnacentral:rRNA from 1 species
CAGCUCUUGACAUACUAGGUUUCGACUCCGAGAGAUUGGAGUUUUCAGUUCGGCUGGGCCUAGUACAGGUGCUGCAUGGCUGUCGUCAGCUCGUGUCGUGAGAUGUUGGGUUAAGUCCCGCAACGAGCGCAACCCUCAUCUUCAGUUGCCAUCAGGUUAUGCUGGGCACUCUGAAGAAACUGCCGGUGACAAGCCGGAGGAAGGUGGGGAUGACGUCAAGUCCUCAUGGCCCUUACGGGCUGGGCUACACACGUGCUACAAUGGCGGUGACAGUGGGAUGCGAUGGCGCAAGCCGGAGCGAAUCUCCAAAAGCCGUCUCAGUUCGGAUUGCACUCUGCAACUCGGGUGCAUGAAGUCGGAAUCGCUAGUAAUCGUGGAUCAGCAUGCCACGGUGAAUACGUUCCC